rnacentral:rRNA from 1 species
GACAGAGGUGCCAAGCGUUAGGCGGAAUCACUGGGCUUAAAGCGUGUGUAGGCGGGCGGGCAAGUACCUUGUGAAAUCCCACGGCUCAACCGUGGAACGGCUGGGUAUACUGCCUGUCUUGAGCCAGCUAGGGGCGACCGGAACAGACGGUGGAACGGUGAAAUGCGUAGAUAUCGUCUGGAACGCCAAAGGUGAAAACAGGUCGCUGGGGCUGAGCUGACGCUGAGACACGAAGGCCAGGGGAGCGAACGGG